rnacentral:lncRNA from 1 species
GUUUAAAGCUCUUGUUGAAAAAGAAAGCGGAUAUAGUAUAAAAGCCUUGAGAUCGAAUAGAGGAUGAGAGUUCACCUCCAAAAGUUUGAGAAAUAUUGUGAGCAGAAUGGAAUUCGUCGCCCAUUGACAGUUUCAUACUCUCCACAACAAAAUGGAGUAGCCAAAAGAAAGAACAGAUCCAUUCUUAACAUGGCACGCUGCAUGCUCAAAAGUAAGAGAUUGCCCAAAGAACUUUGGGCUGAAGCUGUUAAUUUCGCCGUGUAUCUGUCUAACCGAUCACCUUCUAGAAGUGUGUGGAAUAAGACACCACAAGAAGCAUUGAGUGGAAGAAAGCCCAGCAUCUCUCACUUACGAGUAUUUGGAAGCAUUGCAUAUGCUCAUGUACCAGAUCAAAAACGGUCCAAGUUAGAUGACAAAAGUGAAAGGUAUGUCUUCAUCGGCUAUGACUCUCGCUCUAAAGGCUACAAGUUGUAUAAUCCAAGCAAUGAGAAGAUCACCAUAAGUAGAGAUAUCGAGUUUGAUGAAGAAGGAGCUUGGGAUUGGGGUGUCCAAGAGGAAUAUGGAGGACUGUAAACCCAUAUGCACCCACAUCGAAUGCGAAAUCAAGUUGUCGAAGAACGAUGAAGGUGAAAAAGUAAAUCCAACACUUUUUAAGAGUCUUGUUGGAAGUCUAAGAUACUUGACGUGCACAAGACCAGAUAUCCUUUUUUGAGUUGGGCUCAUCAGUUGCUAUAUGGAGACACCUACCAUGACCCAUACGAAAACUGCAAAGAGAAUUCUUCGCUACAUCAAAGGUACGCUUGAUUAUGGCUUAGUCUAUUCAUCAACUAAUGAAUUCAAACUUGUUGGAUAUAGUGACAGCGAUUGGGGUGGAAAUAGUGAUGACAGAAAAAGUACGACUGGAUAUGUGUUUUACUUGGGCGACAUAGCUUUCACCUGGAGCUCAAAAAAGUAAUCGAUCGUAGCACUAUCUACCUGUGAAGCUGAAUAUGUUGCGGCAACAUCAAGUGUCUGCCAUGCGAUUUGGCUUAGAAACUUGUUGAAGACGCUUGGAGUUUCACAAGAAGAACCAACCAUAAUCCAUGUUGAUAACAAAUUAGUAUUGGCAUUGGCAAAGAACCCAGUAUUGCAUGACAGAAGCAAGCAUAUUGAUAUAAGAUAUCAUUUCAUAAGAGAAAGUAUUACAAAGAAAGAAGUACAGUGGAAAUAUGUAACCUCCUAAGAGCAGAUCACCGACAUUCUCACUAAGCCACUCAAGCAUGAUGUGUUUCGCAAGUUAAGAACUCUACUUGGAGUAGCAAAAUCAAGUUUAAUGGGAGAUGUUGAGUAGUAAACUUGAUUUUUGGACUAAAUAAUAUGGGCUUAAAGAUUUUGCUUAUAGGCCCAAAUCAAUUAAAAGGCCCAACAUGCCUAACAUAUUUAG